rnacentral:rRNA from 1 species
UCUUUAUUGGGGGAUAGUAUGAAAGGUAUUACGUGUGAGUUUUAGUUUUAAGGUUAGAGUCUGAAGUUAAUUUUUAAGUUAAAAAGCUUAAAGAUCUUUUAGGGACAAGAAGACCCUACAAAGUUUAAGUCUACUUCUUGUUUUAUUGUAUUUAGUAGAUUUUCCUUGGGGCAAGGCUAUAAGAAUAAAUUUUAUAGGUAGGUGUUUUCAUUAAGGAAGGGUUAGGAGCCGUUACUAACGAUUAGCAGUUUAAAUUACUUUAGGGAUAACAGCAUAAUUAAAGCUUGGAAGUUCACAUUGACAGCUUCGGUUAUGACCUCGAUGUUG